GAGGAAAGUCCGGGCUCCAUAGGGCAGGGUGCCAGGUAACGCCUGGGGGGGAAACCCACGACCAGUGCAACAGAGAGCAAACCGCCGAUGGCCCGCGCAAGCGGGAUCAGGUAAGGGUGAAAGGGUGCGGUAAGAGCGCACCGCGCGGCUGGUAACAGUCCGUGGCACGGUAAACUCCACCCGGAGUAAGGCCAAAUAGGGGUUCAUAAGGUACGGCCCGUACUGAACCCGGGUAGGCUGCUUGAGCCAGUGAGCGAUUGCUGGCCUAGAUGAAUGACUGUCCACGACAGAACCCGGCUUAU
rnacentral:RNase_P_RNA from 1 species